rnacentral:ncRNA from 1 species
UUUGCCUCAUGAUAGCUGGUGUACGUAAUGAAGCUGUUAUAUUCGUAAAGCGCAUGAUUAGAGGAAUUGUGGGACGAAACGUCUUCAACCUAUUCUCAAACUUUUAAUGAGUGUGAUCUCUUGCUUGUAUGAAUGGGGCUAUACAGUGAAUGAAUGUUCGAAGUGGGUCAUUUUUGGUAGGACCAAAUUAACUAGCCCUGAAACU